UGGUUCGCCCCGUCCGCCAGGCGGGAUGCGUCGCAAGAGGGAACCCGGUGGGAAUCCGGGACUGCCCCGCAGCGGUGAGCGGGAACGACCGCCGUCAUACGCACUGGGCCCGGCCGGGUCUGGGAAGCGACGGCCAGUAGGUGCCCUCCUCCGGGAGGACGUGCCCGCGAGUCCGAAGACCUGCCA
rnacentral:ncRNA from 1 species